rnacentral:pre_miRNA from 1 species
GUAGUAUUCCCUCCAUCUCAAAAUUCUUGUCUUACAUUUGUUUAGAUACGGAUGUAUCUAACACUAAAAUGUAACUAGAUACAUCCAUAUUUAGACAAAUUUAAGACAAGAAUUUUGGGACGGAGGUAGUACAAA